UAGGUAAUAAUAAUAUGUAAGCACAACAUUUUGUAUGCAUUUUCAUAUUUUUAUUGGUUAGUAAAAAAAACCUAGCUUUAUACCAAAAAUUUGUUUCAUAACCUAUACAUACAACUAUACCAUAUUGUUGCAUUAUUAGGGCAUACUUUAGGGUUUUAUUAAUUUUUUAAUCAUAUUUAAUACUUUGUAAAUUUUUAGGACAUUUUCAACCCAACGAAUCGAGAAUCACAGAAUAAUUAUUCAAGAUUUAUGAAUAUCAGCUUGAGCAGGCUAUAAUGGAAACAUACAUAUUUUAUGUUUAUUUUUCAGUUGAACAGAAAAAUCAAAUACUGAAAUAACAUGUCGCUCCUAUAGCACCUGGCGAACAUGACAGCCUAACACAAAGUAUUGAAGUAGAAACUAGAAGCACUUCGAAUAAUUUAAAAUACCAGCUUAACCUUAAGAACAAUUUUUAGGCGACGUGGUUGUUAUCAAAAAGGGUAUCAUGGAGUGGUAACAAGCAGAUGCAAAAAAAAAUGAUGGAAUUUUUAAUGAGACGGAAAGAAAAUCGUACGUCGUUGAACAAGAGAACAAUUUCACUAGCUAUAGCGCCUAC